UACGAAGGGGCUAGCGUUGCUCGGAAUCACUGGGCGUAAAGGGUGCGUAGGCGGGUCUUUUAAGUCAGGGGUGAAAUCCUGGAGCUCAACUCCAGAACUGCCUUUGAUACUGAAGAUCUUGAGUUCGGGAGAGGUGAGUGGAACUGCGAGUGUAGAGGUGAAAUUCGUAGAUAUUCGCAAGAACACCAGUGGCGAAGGCGGCUCACUGGCCCGAUACUGACGCUGAGGCACGAAAGCGUGGGGAGCAACAGGG
rnacentral:rRNA from 1 species